UCCGGUAUGGUGUAACGGCUAACAUUACCGCCUUUCAUAUGCAUGUCACUGCGCGAUCGCGGUAGCUCGGGGUUCGAUUCCCCGUACCGGAA